GACGAACGCUGGCGGCGUGCCUAAUACAUGCAAGUCGAGCGAGCGGAACCAACAGAUUUACUUCGGUAAUGACGUUGGGAAAGCGAGCGGCGGAUGGGUGAGUAACACGUGGGGAACCUGCCCCUAAGUCUGGGAUACCAUUUGGAAACAGGUGCUAAUACCGGAUAAUAAAGCAGAUCGCAUGAUCAGCUUUUGAAAAACUCCGGUGGUACAAGAUGGACCCGCGUCUGAUUAGCUGGUUGGUGAGGUAACGGCCCACCAAGGCGACGAUCAGUAGCCGGCCUGAGAGGGUGAACGGCCACAUUGGGACUGAGACACGGCCCAAACUCCUACGGGAGGCAGCAGUGGGGAAUAUUGCACAAUGGGGGAAACCCUGAUGCAGCAACGCCGCGUGAGUGAAGAAGUAUUCGGUAUGUAAAGCUCUAUCAGCAGGAAAGAAAAUGACGGUACCUGACUAAGAAGCCCCCGGCUAACUACGUG
rnacentral:rRNA from 1 species